GCCUGGAUAGCUCAGUUGGUUUGUGUGUGGUGCUGAUAACGCCAAGGUUGCAGGUUUGAUUCCAUCCACUUUAGGAUCU